GGGAUUACAGGUGUGAGCCAUUGCACCAGGCCAGGGAUGUUUCUUUCGUUGGGCCUUUGUCCGCCCUGUGGUCAGGUGGUUAGGUAGGAUGUUUCUCAUGGCCUGAACCCCUGUGAAAUGUUUCGCUUUGACCAAGGUCUGCAAAAUAGCAAGGAACUUGUAACAUGGUGCAGUUUGGCUAACAUUCUUGCCUUUUACUUUAAUAUAAAAGGAAGAGGGGUGUUGUGUUGUUGAUUGUCUGGCUACUUCCUUCCGAAUAGGGGUGCUGUACUCGGCGUGUGGGUUUUGAAGCAGUGGGCGUUCGACUUCAGAGUUGUUUUCCUUGAGGCGCUGAUACCGGCCUUGGCGGAGGAGAAUGACGGUAUUCAUGUGUUUCUGGGUGGUUGCCUGAACAAGGGAGUUCAGCCUUUGGGAGAUAAAGCAGGAUAUGAAGCCUGACCAGGUGGGAGGUCCUGAUGCCCUUCCCAGGACUGGGCACUGCGGUGGCCCCAGCACAGGGCAGGGCCCACCUGAAGCAGUGUGACCUGCUGAAGUUGUCCCGGCAGCAGAAGCAGCUCUGCGGGAGGGAGCCCAGCCUGGCUGAGACCCUGUGGGACGCCAUGCACCUCGGCCUGGAGUGCCAGUUCCAGUUCCGGCAUGAGCGC
rnacentral:lncRNA from 1 species